AGAAGCAGGCUCAUAGCGGAGGAGCCUGAUGUGGGGCUCGAUCCCAUAACGCCGGGAUCACGCCCUGAGCCGAAGGCAGACGCUUAACCGCUGUGCCACCCAGGCGCCCCAAUAAAUGUUUUUUUGAAUGGUCACUGGCCUUGGUAAGUCCUAUACCGUCUCUGUGUUUCAGCUUCCUCACUGCAAAAAGGUGAUAGGUCUGCCUGCCCCACGUUGGGAGAUUACGUGAGAUAAUAUGAAUGCAAUGCCCUGCGCGGUGCCCGGCGCCCAGUAGUGCUCAAUUAAAAGUCACUUCCCUCACCACCAUUAUCCUCCUGCCACAAUUUUAAGUAAAAGGGAAAAGAAUGCCUAGUGCCCUUUGCUUAACACCGUUUCCUCUACUGAGGGGGAGCUAUUGGAGAAUAUGAGGCCAGGUCUGUAUUAUUCAUUGCUUAGUCUUUUGCGUAUGGUGGUGCUUAAUCAAUAUUUUUAGGAUAAAUGAGUAACCGUUAUACAUGCUUAUCUGAUCCUGAGUUUGUGCCUUCAAUGAACUUAAUGUUUUGUUUCCUUUUCCCAUCAAAAAAAAUCACCAGCUUCAAUUUAUUUAGUAUGCAUUGUUUCCCAUUGCAAACCAGCCAAGGCUGGGGGAAGAAGGGAGGCUGGGCUGCUGGACCAGCCACCCCGCCAGGCAGUCCAAGCCUUUGCUGGCCACACUGUAGCCCUGGGGCAGGGGCAGGGGAGGGGGAGGUGAGCCCUGGGGAGGGGCACUGACACUGGGGCACCUGCUGUCUGGUUUGGCACACCUGCUCGCUCGUCUACUUCCCCUAACAGCCCUGGGAGGAGGCACUGUCCUCCUUCUGUAUCGGGCAGGGUCCCAGAAGGGACAGAUUAACAUGCUCCGGCUGGGUAAUGGAGGAGAGUUCAAUAAAAGGAAUUUAAUAAAAGGGUGUGCAGGUUUAAGAAAGUCAGCAGGGACUAGUGUAGUACUCCAGGGCUAGUAAGGGCAGGGAGUCCUUAUCCCCCCUGAAGAGAUAAGAGGAGUGGCCACCCACAGUAACCCAGGAGGGAGGGAGCCAGGGCCAUAAAUACCUGGGGCCACACUUUCCUUCUGCCUGGGGGGGAAGGGGCUGGUCCCCAGUGCCAAACGCACCCCAGGCGGUCUGAGCGGGGAGCUUUCCAGGCCAUGGGCAGGAUGAAAAGAGUCAGGAGUGACCAGCGUAACUGGGUUAGACAGCACUCGGUGAGGCAACCCUGGCACCCCAGUGUUUGACCUACCUGCUCUGCUCCGCGGCCACUGCCGCUGGGCCUCCAUCUCUCUGGCCUCAGCGCCGGCUAGCCCCGCUUCCAGUCUCACCGUUGAAACCAGGGCAGACUGCCGCGCUCUGGGCUGCCCUGGAAGCUUCCGUGAGGACCCUAAGAGACAGUCACAAUUGCACGGGACAAAUGGGGAACUCCCAGAGAAGGAAGGCAGCCCAAUCUUCACAAACACAUACACAUACACACUCCGCCCAUGCUGUUCUGUGAACCCCCCAGGAGCCGACCUGUAACUUCACUCCACCAGUGUGGAGAUGUGUCUGUGAACCCGCCCUAGCACAGGCCCCCGUGACAGUUAAGGUCUUAGCUUGGGAAUCAGAUCGCCCAGGACUUGAAUCCUGACUCUACCACAAGCUAUGUGAAUUUGGGCCUCAUUUGUAAAAUGGAAAUUAUCAUAAUCAGUAGGAGUGUUGUUAGGGUUAAAUGCAGCAUGUGAUUUGCUUUGCACUUGCUAAACCUUAUCUCACACCCCAGCGUGGUGAUUUCUGCAGCUUAGCCCUACCAGAACUUUUGACCUGUUUGCUUACUCAUUCCAACUUUCAGAACCCUUUAAGAAUGGCUACUUCUACAACUAAGAAAAAGGAUGAUGAUAUCUGGUAGGGAUUUAUAGUUUUGAAGUACUUUCCCUUGGCUUAUCAAACAUGACUGUUACAACAGCCCAGUGGGAAUGGCUGCGCGAAUAUUACUCUCCCUCUUGUAAGGAUGGAGAAACUGACACCCAGAGAGACCAGGUGACUUGCUCUAGGUCACCCGCGGAGUAACCGGUGGAGUUCGGGGGGGGGGAGGGGCACCCCACAGAGGAGGCAGCAUGGACCAGCUGGCCUCUGCAGAGCAGGUUGGAGCUACAGCCCCGAGGGGCCCUCCGAGCUCCCACAUUACCCUGCAGCGGCCUUCGGGCUGUGGUGUGCUGGAUCGCUUAAUGGUAUGUGCUUCCCCAAAUUGUAAUAUGUCCUUGUUCACAGCAAAGAAUAUCUGAGGCACUUCCCCCAGCUAUGCCUGCGAGCAGGAGGUGGCAGGUGCGGGUGGUGGGGUUGGUGGGAGCCCCGCACCCUGCUGUCCAGGCUUCCAGGACACAGACUGACUCUCUCUCAGGCUUGGGCUUCCCGCGGGGUGUUCGCCCUGCCGGCUUCAGAGGGGCUUUCUCUGCAGUGGGGGGAUCCUCAGGAACUGACCCCAAGCCUCCACUUAUGGCAGGUGCACGUUUGACAACGACAAGCCCAUCUCUGAAAGCACAGCGUGCAUUAGCAUUCUCUCCUUUGGAGAGAGCUAUUUUUGUCUUUCAUCUUCAGAAACUGUGUUCCAAAAUAAAGGAGACAAGUCUCAGAAGGAGAACCAAUGACCAGUGUCUCCAGCUCAGAAGAGAGCAAGUCACUAUUUCCUCAACAACAAGGACAGUGACCAUCGCCCCGGCGGCGCUGGGGUGGGCGUCCCGCUGCCCUUGGGUACCGCACCUUGUCCUGCACCCGCUGUCAUCUCUCUGUGCAAUGCCUCUCCACACACUUCGGGGAACCGGUUUGUUGCCAUGGUUACCAGCAAAUCACAUGACAGCCUGGCUACCUAGCAGUGUGGGAGAACAGUGGAAUCAGAUGUGAUGGGGGAAGCAUCCCUCCCCCAGCUUGGUGGCUUUUCCUUGGCAGACCUGCACGGUCCCAGAGGUCCGCAUUUCUGACCUGCCCAGCUCUGGGGUUAAGGGCCAGCGUUCUUUGAGCGCCAGGACAUUGCUUUCAUAAUGAAAUCAGCACAGAGUCUUCCUCAAGGGCUUCUCCUUCUGGUUCAGGAGCCCCUCCGCCCUUCCCCAACCCCGCCUUUCCCUGACACCCCCCCCCCGCCACACACACGCAUGCACACGCACGGAUGCUGUGAUUAAAUAGCUGGGGUGAGUGGGAAGGGGUGGAGUAUGCAGCCUACACCACUUGAAUAAGCUCUUUUUAAAAAUCUGAGGAUGGCAUGAGUCAGGGAAUUUUGAAGCCAUGAUACAAUCAGGACACUGAUGCCUCAAGGGGGUGGAGGCAGGGACCACAGACUCGCCCAGAUCCUGGAGAGACCAGGCAGAGUCUGGGUUCCUGGGCACAGCCUUGCCGGGGGAGCUGCUGACCCUCAGACUUGGGGUCAUGGAAGUGGGUGUGCUCUGCCCAUCUCCGAUGUGGUAUGGUGGUCCUAGCCCCUGGGCACUGCCUUCCAGGGAAGAGCAGGUCUGAGAGCUGGAGAAAGCUCUCAAAAAACAGAGCUCUCUGCCUCUGCCCCGCCUCCCCCCCUUCCCUACAGAACCAGGCCACGGUAGCAGGAGUCUGUGCUCCGAGAGGUUGGGCGGCCAGCGGGUGCGCCUUAGCAGCCCCAGCGGGGACUAGAAGUGCAGGCCUUUGUCUCCCUGACAAUCACCAUUGCCUACUUCUCUGCGUUCAGAUUAUAUCUCAUCUUGUCAAUUCCAUCAGAUUUUCUGGUCUGCUUUGCUUUCCCCAUUGCAAAAGCAAAGUCCAGGUGAUGGCAACAGACCCGGCAGAGUCAGCAGGUCGCAGAGGGCAGGGCCUGGGAGGGAUUCUGCCCCAGCUCUACUAGGCUGGUGCCGAGGACUCGCUUCAGACCCCUGCCUUAACGAGCAAAAUGUAUUCAGGGAGAGGAAGCAAACAGCCUCAUAAGCAUAACCUUAUGGAGCACCACAGGGCAAGGGCCAAGAAGACCAGAGGUCUCCAAAAUGAAGGGGGGCGGGGAUGCAGCCUCUGGUGUGUGGCACUGGUACCAGUGGGGUACAAAAUACAGACCUUCUGUUUGGGUUAUUUUAUCGCUUCUUUUUUAUAUCUAUUUUGGUACAUAUCUUAUAAUGUGUAUGACGGUAUCAGGUAGGAUCAGUGUGGGCUGAGAUUAAGAAAGAAGAAAAAAAUCCAACCCCCCAGCGGCUAACCCAGGAGAGAAGUUAAUUUCUCUCGCUUGUAAAGGAACUGUGGAGGUAAGCCGCCCGGAGCCGGUAAGGCAUCUUUUCUGGUCACUCCAACAUUCUCAACAUGCAGCUUCCACUUCCUUAUUCAAGGCUGUUGGGCGUGGUCCAGCCAUCCUGUUCACAUUCUAGGCAGCAAGGAGAGAGAAAGGAAGGGUUACAUGCCCCUCCCACGAGGACACCUCCUGGCUGGGCCUUGGUGCUCCGUAAACGUGGAUCCAAUAAAUAAUAAGGUCUUGCUAAGCUUCAGAACAUAUCUAGUAGGCUUUUGGAGAAUCAAAUGAGGUAAUGUUUGAGGAGAGGUUUUGAAAACUACAAGCCAAUAUAUACACAGUGGUUAUAGUUAGCCCUCUUGUCAGGAAAGUCCCUUAUUUGGGGCAGGAAUGUGGCUGUUUCUGGUUCUGCCUUUUGGUGCCUUCCUCUGAGAAACAGUCCUCUGGGUCAUGUCACUCUUAGAAUCAGAGGGCAUCUUCAAGCCCACUCAGACACACCGCCUGGUGCCCUCCCACCACCCCCCCCAGGCAGGAUUCCCCUCCUCGAUGGCUUCACCAAGGGGUCGAUUGGUCAGUGACCCUCAUAACAACUGGGCAUCGUGAUUAAGAAUGACUCAACAGUGUAGGUUAGGGGACAAGUUCCAUGCCGCUCCCCAGAUAUAGCUAUGAGUUCUCCCCUCCUUGCUUCUGCACACAUUCUUCUCUCCCCCAUGGUCCAGAGUCCUCUUUCAAGGUUAGGCUCAAAGUCACCUGCUUGGUAGAAGUGUUCCAACUUUGGCAGAGGCAUUUAGGUGGUCUCUUCAUUUUCUGGCUGUGUCAUUUUGUACUUAACUCUAUUAUAAGACAUAUCAAAUUAUAUUUUUAUUUGUGCUUUUUUACAGACCCACUUUGUCACCCCCCGCCAAACCACUACCACCACCCUUUUAUGUGAGAUUUUCAAGGGCAGAGCUGUGUCUUACUCAUUUGAUUCUCCAGCACCUACCUCAGUGCCUGGCACCAGUUGAUAAUUUAAUGAGUGCUUAUUGAGAGGAUGAGUGAGUAAACACGUGAGCAGGGGGCUGAAAACUUGGUCUCUGGCAUGAGACAAACUCAUGUCCAAAUCCCAUUGACUAAUUAAACUCAUUCAUUCACACAUGCCAUUCAUUCAUUCAUUCAUUCAUUCAUUCAUUCGGAUUUGUACUGAGUACCUAUUAUAUUGCAGGCACCCUGCUCGACAUUGCCAGAGGACAACCGGGAGGGACAGAGUCCCUGCCUCACAAGCUUAUAUCUGAAUGGUAGAGAGUGACAAUAAACAAGCAAAUCAUCUCUGGACACCUCAUGUUCUGGCUGCAAACACACCAUCUGGCUUGCCAAGGACCUUCUUCAAAUGAGGCCCCUGAAACUGAACGUGGAACUUCAAGCAAGCUCUGGCAGAGCUGGGACUGUGCCCGAGACCCGGAGACCCAACACAGCCUUACAACUGGGUCAUAAAUGAGCAGCAGAGGCAAGUCUCCCACCCCACGAGGACAACCAGAUUCACCUGCAGCAUCCUGUGGUCUAGCAGGUGGGAGGAUCUUGCUUGUGUAUCAGCAGCAAAGAGGAGGAUUCUAGGAAUCUCAGAGGCAAAGGUUUUCUGCAGUUCACGUUUUUCCGAACCUGUGGUUUCUCCGAGCUGACCCUCAUGAUGGAAGUUAAUCAGAACCAAUCCGUGACUUGUCUUCUAUUCCACCCAAAGACCGAAGGGAUGGGCAAAUCAGAGUGGAAUUUUACCGGGAACCCGAACACUGGAGACUGGAAUCAGAGGAUGAUAAAGCCAAAGCGGCGUCAAGUUUAUUCUUAUGCUCGCCUUUCAAAUUACUGACUGGUUUUUAAAUUGACAGUUUCAACUUUGACUUCAGCCCAGCAGUCCUCCUAGGAGGGCAGAGAGCAGGGAAGAGGGAGCCUGGAAAGCUCCUGCCUCUACUUGUCAUUUCCUGACUGAUUCUGCCAUGAGGGUCAAUGGAGAGCUUAGACAUCCUCACAGAGCUGAUCUUCACCGAGAGCUCACUGAGUGCCAGGGAGCCUUCCAGACAUCAUCUCAUGUCAAGCUUCCCAGAAACUUGCAAGCACAAGAGGAAGCUAAAGGGGCAAGGAGCGUUUACAGAGGUGUCUUGCAGCCCCAGAUGUACCCCCAGACCAGCGGCCUCAGCAUCACGGGGGAGCUUGUUAGAAAUGCAGGCUCUCAGGCCCCGCCCCAGACCUACUGAAUCAAAACCUGCAUUUUAACAAGAUCCCAGGUGAUUUCAAUGCCUAUUAAAGUUUGAGAAGCCCGGGUCUGGGUCCGUGGUCCGCCGUCCGCAGCCCCGGCUGAACACUGGAAUCACCUGGGGGAACUUAGCAAAAUGCCGGGGUCCCACACCCGCGGUUCGGAUUUCAGCCGGCUGGGUGCAGCCCGGGCAUCCCAGGGGUUCGUCCGUUUGUUUUUAGCUCCCCAGGUGAUUCUAAGGGGCUGCAACUUUGAGAACCACUGGCAGGAGGAAGGGGAAAGCCACAGCUGUGGAAGGUAGAAGCCACUAGCGACCUGCCAUUCCCUCCCAAAGAAGAGCCACGCAGGGGUGGGGGGCGGUGGACCAGCAUCAGGGAGGCCGGGGAGACCCACUGCCGGGACAGUGACCACCUGGGUUUCCUUUCCGCCGGUGCGUUCGGCUGGACGGACACCGGCUGCGGAAAGACGCGCGGAAAGGGGACUCCUCAGGAACCCCAACUCUCCGGACGCCUGCAAAACGCUUCGGAUUGGGCCCAUUUUCCUGUCCCAGUGGAGAUGUUUCCCAGAAGGAUGUAGAAUGCUCAAGCCAGGAGAAGACACAGGACUGAUUCAAGGCUGUGGGUAACAUCAAGUUAAGACCAACUCGAGCUGGUUUACAACCACGGGACUAGAUGUUUCUUGGCUCCAUUCCAGAUGUGAGGGCUAGCGUAAACUCCCAUGGAUGAGGUUCAUCCUGUUUUGGCAAAAUUCUGUUGGGUAAAUUCAAAGAGUGAGAGAGUCUGUUCCUCUACCCUGUUCUUCACAACCGUAGAUGAUCCCUAAUGAGCAUUUUAACUACAUUCUUUCAACAUCCUGUCAUCCUUGAGAAGUAUCUAUAUAGUUCAAGUUACAGCAUGUUAUCAUCUCAGAACACUGGAGAAAGAAAAAACCUCGUCAAGAGACGAAACACCAAGAAAUAAAAUGAGACAAUUUUUCCAGGAGAGAUUCAUGUUUCAGGUUUCUCAACCAUCUGCACUUGACCGUUGACCACACGGGUCAGCGGCUGGGCUGGGUCAGCCACGCCCACCCACGAUGGCGAGUCUGCCCACGGCUUUCAGAAAGGAGAUCCCCAACGGGACCAAGCUCUGUGUGCACCUCCCUCCAGCCCUCUGUUCUCCUGUGUGCCCUUUAUUAAUCUUUUCUUCCUCCCAAAGAGAUGUCCCGAGGGCUGACAGUGGGCCACUCACCAUGCUGGAUCCUGGAGAUGCAGCCAUAAAGAAGACAGAUGUGACCCAGGCCCACAUCAUCGAGUUUUCUAGCAGGGAGGACUGCAUAAUUAAUCAUCAAUAAAUCACUUCAAUUAUGAGUGCUCUGUAGGAGACUCACAGGGUGAUAGGAGAGUGAAUGAGGGCACUUGACCCUGCACUGGGGACUGCCUUAAGAAAAUGAGGUCUGAGCCCAGGCCCAAAGGAUACCCAGUGGUGAGCCAGGCAAAGAAAGUAGAGGGGUCUCCCUGUUCCCUAGUUGGCCUCUUUACCCCUUCUGUCCGCCACCCAAGUACCCCUGUCCCCGCUUGGCAGCUCGGGCUGUUGACUCCACACUGACCUUGCUCAAUGCACGUGGUGCUGACAGCUCCACAGCCCAGGCCUGGACAGUUGCCUCUGUUCUUGUCUGUGUCCGACCUUGGCCUGGGUCAUUUCCCACCCCACUUCUCCCGUAUUGGUGCUGACAGCUCACAGGAUCCCCACCCAGCAGGGUAGCAAGAUAUGUGAUGGCAUCACUUUUCUUCGGUUAUUAGAAAGCACUUCUUUCCAAACAACUGUGUUUUGCUUGCAGGACAAGAGCUCAGGGCUCAAUGCAGGGUUUCUGUUUGUGGUACAGUCAGCGGUUGUAUGGGAAACCCUCCUAGCAGAGCUGUGUUCUGUUGGUGCCAAGCACCCCGCUAGGUCUCGGUGGCGUGGGGAGUGGGACCAUGCUUGCUGGCUCAGGUCAGGUGGCAUCUUGCUGAUGGCCUCAUUCAGGCUGACGGUGACUGGAGUGAGGGAUCCCACACGCUUCUCUCCAGGUUAGACACGCAGCUGCUGGAUUCCUCUCUCACUCUCAAUAAAAUCAGUUGUUUUGCUAACUGGACUACAGCUUUUUUUCC